rfam:Aedes aegypti strain Liverpool supercont1.7 genomic scaffold, whole genome shotgun sequence.
GGCUCGGUAGCUUAGUUGGUAAGGCGCUCGUCUAGCCUACAAGAGUCCUGGGUUCGAAUCCCAGCCGAGCAC